UCAUUAUUCAAGAUCACUCGCGUUGUCCAUUAACUCGAGCAACAUACGUUUCGUAACGCGCUGUUUCGCAACGACUUUCGUAGAUACGACAACGGUAAUAUUUCAUAAUACGGUCAGUUGUAAACAAUUUCCCCGGAGGGCACUAAAAAUAAGGUGCAAGCGAGCAGAUAGAUAUCGUGCGACCGUUCGAGCGGCGAGCUUGGAAUAAGGUCAGGGAAGCCAAACGGGAGAAAAAAGCCGAUGAUCAAAGCUGGAGAGGCAAGCUCUGGGAAUUUCGCAGACUUAAGGAACAAGCUAAUACAAACUGGUAAAACAUGGUUGUAUACAAAGGGGAGCUGUUCGAGUGAAACGACUAAUUUACGCGUAGGAAGCUCUAUCAGUGGCCGGUAUCAUGGGAAUCGACGCGUAGGCAGCAGGCUGGAAACGAGAAUCGCUUAAACGGAUUACUUUAUCGAAGUUGAAACUGUAUCGUGGCUGGCUGUGUAUCGCAAGACAUGGGUAGAGGCGCGGGUAAACAAUACAUUCGAUGAGAGAGACGUUCGAGAAGACAAACACGCCACGACGGAAAAUUCAGUUUUCCGUGGUUGUUUAGUGUUGAAAAUGUUGUCACUUGUAAAUAUUGCGAGGCAAACCGUGAAAGCAAAAAUGGAGACAAAGAACGCCAUGAAACGGUUCAGAUACGUGGAUGACAUAAUGUAUCGAUUGAUGUAUUUAGAUUGACGGUUCUAUAGUCUUCGAGUCUUUCUACAUUUAGAAAUAAGAAGCAUUUCUCAAUUUGAAAUCUCAGGUCUUCUGGAAUUCAUAUUCAUAUUUAUUUUCAUAAAAAAUUAACGAUAGUUCUUUAUGAAUUUUUAGUAAUUGUAAGUUACAGUAAAGUCUAAACUGUAAUCAGCGCGAAUGAACUUCCAGUGUAUUAUAUGCGAAUCACAAUUGUUUGGGAUAAUGGGGAAGAGUUUAAGCACUUGUUCGGCAUAUAAAGUUCGGUUUCGUCGAGUGGCCGACAAGUCAAGUGGAUUUCGAGAGCGAGUAUGACUUAUCAAUCUGAUGUUAAAUUCGAGGAAUUAAGACACUUCGAUGAAAUUUAGUGUAAAACGGAAGUCCUGGUCGAAAUUCAAUGCUAUUCCACCUGUAAAGUACCUCAUAGUACUGUAACGUUCCACGAUUUCGUAAAUCGCAUCGAACGAAACGAGCGAAGUUUUCCUAACGGGAUUACCACCCUCUCGAGUCACGCGAACAUGCUUGCAAAUUCACAGACAAGACAACGAGCUGUUGUCGAAAGGUGAACUUUAAGAGACUGUUCGAAGCAAUCAGAGGGGUUGAACGCGUAAACUGAGAGUUGGAAUCGUCUCGACGAGCUAUGAUUUAUCGAGGCGUGAAUUUGCGUGACUGUAACGAUUCAACUAUUCAGAAGUCAAACUGAUCGACUUCAUUUGUCAAGAAAUUUCUUUAUUUUGAUAUCAGACUAUGUAAUUCAUGUUUAAUUGACUUUAGCAGUAGGGGGACUAAACUUGAUGAAAUUGAAGAGUUUGGCUUCUGUAUAUGAGUUCAGUUACUCAGUUGCAGGAUAAUACCAAGCUACUUUGGAAAUUACGUCAUAGACGAUUAAUUUAUAUAUAAGAGGACACGAAUAUAAAUACAUACAGCGCUCAAAACAGUUAGAGGAUUUUUUAUUCGUACAAUGAUUUUCAUAUUUAAUUUUUAUGUUUUGUAUAUAUCUUUGUUUCUGAUAAUUAUCUCUGAGGCGAUCUUUAUCACAGAAUCAUGCGAAUAACAUGCCAGUCUAACCUAGAGACUUCUUCUCUUUCGUCCGAUUUCAUUAGUGUAAUCAAAUCAUUUGUAAUUAUGAUCCUCUAAUUAUUCCGAACAAAGUAUAACGUAAUAUGCAAGCGUGAUAAAAGCUUUCGUCUUCUACUGGCAAGUUAGAGAUGCAACAGCGUCGAUAUAUAUAUUGGACAUGAAUCCACUAUUCCACCGAACAAUCAAAUCGUUUAGUUGAUUUUUAUUCUACACAGACGCGACAUUUUGCAAUCCUACCAUCUCCAGUAACGUGAC